CUUUCCCAGCAAGGAGCAGCCAGGGGGACAGAGGGACGGGUUGUCCCCUCUCCAUCCCAUGCUCCUGGCCAUCAGAGGCAUGGGGAUUUCCAAAGGCAUGACUGGUGGGAUCACCACUUGCAUGGUUAAAACUCAUUAUUCUUUUGCAGAAGAAUUCAGGCAUUUCAAAACUUGGUAUCCUCUUCCAGGCAAUCCAAGUCUCAACAUUAUUUUUUACCCUGUUUUAUUCAAUAUAAUUACAUUUUUGUUCCUUCAGUUUAAUGAUAUAAUUGAAUUAAAUGCAUGAGCUAUCAUGGCAGACCUGCAGAGGAAGUGACUGAAGUCUAGGGCAAAUCCUGUAAGACCUGUUAUUGUUUAUAUGUCACAAAAUAAAUGACACAACAGUGAAUGGCUAAUACUCUAAUUAGCAUUACACGCUGACUUUAUUUUAUUAAUCAAAGGCAGUAACAGUCAGUGGUCUAAUGAAACAGCUUGAUGUUUUAAUACUUCCAAAAGAGAAAAAGAGAUAAGGGCUCAGCACUAAUUAGAGUAGCAGCUGAUUUCUGGAAAAAAAAAAAUCUGAAAUUGUUGCCUGGCUGAAACAAGGAUAUCAAACACUGCAAAUAUUCCAAUUUACAAAAUGAAAAGAGCAAAAAAUAAAACCAGAACUUUCAAGAUCUUAAGAAUAGGAGAAAUGCUAGGUAGCUGUACUGUCAUAUCGUAGUACGUCCUGACUUGUCAUUAGUACUACCAAGUACUGGGACAUGAGGUGUUCCAAAAGAAAUAGAAAGAAAUUGUAUUGAACAAAUAAUGCUUUUCCAAGUAUUAGACCACAGCUAAUAUUUUGUAUCAUAGUGCAGUUUUGGGAAUUUCUGAAAUACUUUUAGGAUUUCAAAUACCCUAAAUCCAAUGGAAAUCAAAAUCAAAUGACUUGGUAAAAAUAUUUUCACUUUGGCCUGGGUUUUUUAGAAGGAAAACUUCAGUACUGAGGUUUUCUAAGGGUCCAUGUCUUAGCAGAGAGCUGGACAGUUGUUGGAACCUCUAAUGAAUAGGUGCACAGAAAAGGUUUGAUGUCUGUUUUAACGGGUGACUCCCUGGCAGCGUGUGUCCUCCAUGCAGAUGGCCCAUUCCUUAGCUUGUCCCUGGCAACUGGAAAGACAAUAUGGAUGUAGAUUGGACAGCCAGACUGUGAGUGUUCCUUGCAGAUAGCCAGCUGCCAAGUCUCAAAAAAAUUAAAGAAAACCCAGGCUGGAGUUGGAACAGCAAACACUGACUUGGACAAGUCAGAGUUUCCACUCACAGUUCUUUAAUCAGGCUCAGCAUACAGGUGGAUUGCAAGAUAAGAGCACUGAAAUUUGCCUGGGAUUUGCACUUUCUCUAGAUGGAAGAGGAAUGACUAAUGCCUGGCCAAAGCCUGAGUGCCUUCCUCCAACCACCAGCCCCAUCUGCUGCCCCAGCCUUGUGCUUUGAAGAUGCAGCAGCAGCUUGGAACGUCCCACCUGCAUGCCUGCAGACAUUCCAUGAGGAACAGAGCCUGGUGGGUCUUUACCUCCCCUUCUCUGAAGGUGUCUGAGCAAUCCAACCUGUACCUUCUGCAUCGUGGAACAGGCUGCCUAGGGAGGUGGUGGAGUCAUUGUGCCUGAAGGUAAUAUGUAUCUUGUUCUUGUUCUUACUGUGCUGGCUGGAUUAACCAAACCCCUCCGGGAAGUUCUGCCUUCAUUCCCUGCAGUAAAAACUGGACUGAGCAAUACUGGACACGUCCAUCAGAGCUCACCAGCAGAAAAUGUGGAGCAAGUUCUGGGAGGAGAGGAAGGAGCUUCUUCUGUCAUGGUGCUCGGGGAUGGCCUGUCCUCCUGCCCUCCUUGGACAGCUGUAAACCAGGGAUUCCUGCUGCCAGAAUGGGCUGGAGAUGGCCUCUCCUUAGUGGAGAGACUGGACAAGGAAACAGGUGGGAAGGACGUCGACACCUGAAAUUCAGCAAGACUGUAAGGGCUCUUCCUCCUCCAGCCGAAGCCCGGCAAUUCAGAAGUCCGUGUUCGGAAGGACUCCUCAGCUAUUCUCUUUGAUCCGGCAGCCAGGAGAGGGAGCUCGGCAUCCUACUCCCAGGCUCCACUCGCCCAACAUCACUGAAGACAAUGUUGAUGAUUCUUUUGUUCAACAAAUAAAAGAAGUGGUUCCCACGAGGGAGCCGUGUUGGCAGCUGCUUUAUGCGGGCUUAGGGGAAUUGCGGAUAAUCGAUGCUUGCCAAAGGCAAAAUGGACAGCACCAGUGGAAGAAAACAAAACUAACUCUCAGGCUGCUAAGAGAUUAUUGCAUGCAGAGGGACCCGUUUUGGAAGUCUGGAGUGUCUUCAGUCCGCACAGCCACCAAUGGGAGCAUCAAGCACUCAGGACCAGUGGAAGGGCAUGAGGCUCAACUUGGCACCUUGGACUUCCAUCACCAAAAGCCUGAGGAAAGUCCUCUUGGUAAAACCCUGGGUUCUCUCCAGGAGCAGUGGGCACUCACAGUCCUACUUGAGCUCAGCGAGGGCAACUGGAUAUUCAGUGAUUUUUAUAUUUCAGUGUUGAAGCAUGAGGACAGUCACCUAGCUUUUGGUGUCAGGAAGUUGAACGUUCAAAGCAUCAGAAUGGAAACAGAUUCCCAAAUGUACUGAAUGUUGGUGGAAAGAAAGCACUUUAUAAACGGAUAAUUAUUCAGUGCCAGUCUGCCAGGACUUCAGUAGGAUUUCGAGUGAGACAUUUCUAUAGAUAAAAGUAAUUUUUAAGAAGAGUUCCAUACUCUUAGCACAAAACUUUCUGAGUUUAGUGAUGCCAUUUUAACUGGUUCUGGCUAUUAAUAGUGCUGUGAUUCCUGGGUUUGUUGGAAAUGUGAUCCCCACAUCCAGAGAUGCUGGCUCACCAGCUGUCAUUGGUCCUGGGGGUAUCCUUUCCUGAUGUAGUCUUGGUUCUGUUUCUCCUGUAAAUGUCUGUAUUUGUAUACACUGAUCCCUAGUGAUGGAUUUCUUCAUGGACUGUGUUCCAUCAGCCAUUCCCAGAGCUGCUGUAACAGCACAAAUACACAUUCCAGACACAUUUUCAUCCAAAUCUAGUGUGGGUGAGGACAGAGCCUGGGACAGCCAGCCUAAUCCUGACAGAUAAUUUUUCCCUGGGGCUAGGGUGAAGAAAAGUUAUUCUGAGAGUGCCAGAUGGGCUAUGGAAACAUCCUAACAAUACCUGUAAUUAACAUAUCCAGUGCUCCUUCACCUAAGAGCUUUCAGGAUGACUCACACACCCACCCUACAGAUCCCUGCAGGGUCAGGUGCUGCCUAAGCUGAAUGAGAAAAAGGAUGCAGGCACCCUCAUUGGAGACAGCUCAGAGCAGAGCUGCAGUGACUAGGGAUGUUAGCUCUGUUUUUAGCUGAGCCAAUCUCCUUUCUCUCCACGAAAGCUCAGUGCAGGGAGAGAAUGUUAUCCAUUAACCUUCCAGUAUGCAGAACCUAGUGUUGUCACCCGGCUCCUGGUGAGUGGUGUCAGACAUGGCUGGCGUUCCUCCAUCGAUAUCUUCAAUUACAGUGGCACUUCAGCCAUUCCUAAGAGCAUUUGCCAUUUACACAGUGGAUUUCUCUACCUGUGUGGAUCUCACUGGCACGAAAAAUGAGCAUGUUUUCUGAAUAUACCCUCAUCUUGGAGAAGAAGCAAUGCCAGAAAGACCAAGAAGCCAGAAUUCUGCAUCUUGCAGGCAAUUCAGAUGAUUUGCACAGUCCUCAUCAUUAAGUUCAUACAGCAAAGCCAUCAGACUGUGUGUUCCUUCCUUCAGGCGGUCCUUCUGCUGAUGAGCUGUUCUCAUCCUUACAGAUUGCUCAGUGCUGUGAGAUACCAGGUUGGAUAUCAGGAAAAGGUUCUGUACCAGAAUGUGGUGGACAUGGAACAGGCUCCCCAGGGCAAUGGUUACUGAGCCAACCUGCUGGAGUUCAAGGGGUGUUUGGACAAUGCUCUCAGACAUAGGUCUGAUUUUUGGGUUGUCCUGUGUGGAGCCAGGAAUUGGACUUGAUGAUUCUCAUGGGUCCUUUCCAACUUGGAGUGUUCUAUGAUUCUAUGUGGCCUGAGGUGCUUUCUUUCCUAGAAGCCAUCUCACCCAUCAAAAGACAGAGCCUCUUUCCUAAGAUCCUUCUGUCAGACAGGCAUCUUCCACAAGGCUUUUAUAUUAGCACCAGUAAAGUGAAUAAGGAGUUAUAUACAAGUAUAUUUAAGAUAUUACACAGAAUCAUUCGAGUUGGAAAGGACACUUAAAGGCCAUCAUUCCAGCCCCCCAGCAAUGAGCGGGGACACCUACAGCUCCAUCAGGUGCUCAGAGCCCCAUCCAGCCUGACCUUGAGUGUCUCCAGGGAUGGGGCACCACCACCUCUCUGGACAACCUGUGUGAGUGCUUCACCAACUUUAUUGUAAAAAUGCUCUUUCUUAUAUCCAAUCAGGAUUUAUUCACCAACUUACCAUUUUUUUUUCCCCAUGCCUGAGAAAUGGUAAGCAGCCUCCUUGCUUGUCAUUUGUGGUCAUGCUCAUUAGCAGAUCUUCACUCCAUCAUGAAUAUUGAGAUUGGAGCUCAUUUGCAAUUGGUUGGCCGUAUCACAUGGCCGAUCUCUGUCUCCUGGUUGGAAGGAUGCCCAUUCAAAUAGAAGCAUGUUUUCUGGGACUGCUCACGUAUUGACUUUGAAAUUUGUUUCCCACAAACAUUUGUCCUCACAACCCAACUGCUUUGGCGGUGGAAGAAAGCAGGCAUAAAAGAAACAUGGGCAUUUAUAAUUAAAAGGGAAAGUCCUUAGCUUUGUUGAAUCUCCUACCGGAGGUGCCAAUUAGAGCCUGCUGGAUCCUGGAUAGAGACACCUGCCCGCUUUUCUCAGCUCAUUGCAGAGAGGUGAGCAGCAGGCACCACACCUGCAGCCCAUCAGCAGGAUAUGCAUGAGCCUAGCUCUCCUAUCCUACAGCCAGACGGGCCCCAGAACUUUUAGAAACUGAAAGGCUGAAUGAAAACAUCAAAUACCAAGACAGUUUUGCAGGAAUAUCAACUGGAAAAGAAAAACACGCACACAACUGUACCAAUACCAUCACUGGGCACAGACAGCUCCGGAUUUUGUAGCUUCCAGACAAAGUCAGCAGCAACCGUCAGAAUCUGUGUUUCAAGUCCGACCUUCUGCUUUUAUCUAUAUUUUAAACCCCACACAAGGUAUACAAGGCGAAUGUUGCUGUUACAGUCAGAAAAGCCUAAAUAAUGGAUGAAGAACAGAGGCUGCAAGGAGGGGGGGGGGGUGUAGAAAAAGAAAAGGGGGGGGAGAGAAAAAGAGAAAAAGAUGAGAAAAGCUUGAGGAGAAAAAGAAAGAAAAAAGGGAGGAAGAAAAUAAGAGAGGAAGAAGGAAGAAAAGAAAGAAAGAAAACGAGAGGAAGAAGGGGAAGAGCGCUCCAAAUCAUCUGGAGAGGCUGACACUGUCCGUGGAGCACUUUUUUCCUCCAUUGCUGUGGUGCAGGACACAGAGUAUUGAUCUGGGAUGUUGUGGGAAUUGCUGCUCUCCAUCCAGAGCCAAAAUGGAGCAUCCUCUCUGCUGCCUUUAGUGUAGCCCAAGCUCAUCCUCCAAAGGGGACACAUACAGGAAGGAGAGAUCUGAUGUUAAGCAUGGUGAGCAAAGGCUGGACAGGGUUGUGUGGUGCUUGGAGGUGCUAAAUGCCAGCAGCAUUUAUACUCUCUAGCACUGAGAUGGGAGUUUGUGGGAAAGAGUUUUUCAUCAUGCAAGCAUAGACAGGAAACUGCCCAGGCUCACACUCUCCUCCAAGCUAAAGUAAAGACCCUCUUUUGGAGUUGUCUAGGGAUGCUUUUUGCCUUGCUUUCCCUAAUUAUACAUAUCUUUAGCUUUUUGUGAUUAAGAGGGAUAAAGCAAGUCUCGGAGCAUGGAGGUGGUAUUUGCCCAUGGCAGUGUUUAGUUUCACCUGAGCCCCUCUAAGGACAAUUCACAUCUAUUGCCAUAAUGCACAGCAGAACUCAGACCAGUGAAGAGAAAAGUGUUUGGGUGAGCUACAUAUGUGGAGUAGCUUGGAGGGCCUCUCUUCCGGCCUCACCAGCCCACAGAGGGAUGCUGGCCCUGGCAUGCAGGAGCUGAGAGCCUUACAAAGCACGAUGCAGCCAUCAAGGCUUGGCGCAGAGGCAAGCUGCACUUCCAUUCCCUGCAAAGUGCACAGUCACUUGCCUGCGACUCCCUCCUGGUUUGUUUUAAUUGCACUCUGGUAUUCUCUCUAUCCCUCCUUGUUUUUCAGGUGCUCAUUGUUUCCAGCGUCUCCUUGCCAAUCAACCUGUGUCCUUUCUCCUCUUUCACCUUUGGAAAGGUGCCCAGGAGCAGGUUCUUAGCAACUCGUCUAUGCCAGUGGUCAUGGUUUGUAACAUGAAAGUGACUGCCUGACUCCAACCUCCACCAUGAUGUGCCGUGAUCUGUCCCCAGCCACCAACCAUUUGUGUCAUUGAUGCUUAGAAAAGAUGUGUAGACCCAACCCUCUGCUAAGCAAGGGAUUUUCUUGGCUGUAGAAAGAGCAAGGAAACAGCAAGCUGGCAAAAACUGAAGGCAUGAAAGUUGGUCUGGAAGGGCAUUGAUCCAUCAGAAGAGAGACAGAGAUGUUCCCUCAUUCAUGAGCAGCAUAGUAAGCCAUGUCGAUACAAUACAUUAGUAAUAAAUGGUGGGAGAAUAGGAAGAAAUAGCACAUCCAAAGGGGAUACCCAAGUACAAGUUCUAAGUGUUUCUUCUACCAGAACUGUGUCAAUCAUCUUCUUUAAUGAGGCUUCAAACAAAGUCUGUCUGGAGCAUCUGAAAGUCACUGUAGCAGCAAACGCAGUACAGGUGAGGGCUCACUUCUGUGUCACUAACUUGAUUCAACCCUGUGGUAAUUCCUCCUCUUGCUGAGGACCUGCAAGGACUAUCAUGUACUGACACUGAUAUUUAGGGAGAUGGGUAUGCCAGGUGUAAGCCUUAGAAAGGUGUCACCUCUGGGACCAAGGGUGGCACUGCCAACCACUACUUCAUUGAAGGCUUGGGAUGCCCUUAGGGUCCUUCACCUCAUAACACAGCUGGGAACACAGCGUGGUUUAUUGGAACAUCCACGGGAAAAUCCAAGACCUUGGGAACCCCAUGAGAUUUGCUAUGGGGUGUAACCUGCAGAAAAUUCAAAGCUUAGCAUUCACCUGGUGCUUAUAGUCAGGUGGUCAAGCUGAGCAGAGACAAACAUUCAGCAUGUAAGAACUGAGUGCAGGGUGGGGGUGAGAGGAAUGGACUUAUUUCAAUUAAACUUUCACUUAAUACUUGGAACAAGAAAGGCAGAGUUAAAGCCCACCGUGAGCCUAGCUGCUGAUUUUAUUUGUGUCCCCAUAGGCUUUCCAGAGAGCAGAGGGAGCACUUGUGUAAGACCCAGGUUGCAGGAGGAUUGAUACAGGGUGCAUUCACCCAGCCAUCCCGAGAAGAAUUUGUGGCUUUGGCUCCUUUCCAGGCAGAGAGCUGGAAGAGCACUGUCCAACUCAUUGGCAAGCAUGCAGGGCAAAGCUCCAUUAACAAAUGCACCAAGCAAGACGCCCUGCAACUGGCUCCUUAACUGUUUGCUGGGAAGCACUUGGUUGGAGGAUGGUGAAGUCCAGCACAUCUGUGAGUGAAGGAGGGAGAAGAUAGAGUGUGAGAAGAAAUUGGUCCAACUCAGGUUGGAUAUUAGGAAAAAAACAGCUUCUCAGGAGAAGUGGAGAGGCAGUGGCACGGGCUGCCACAUCACAGGGAGGUGAUGGAGUCACUGUUCCUGAAGAUGCUCAAGAGAUGUGUGGAUGUAGCACUGACGGACAUGGUCAGUGGGCAUGUGGGGAAGGGUUGGUGGUCAGACUUGGAGAUCUUAGAGGUCUUUUCCAACCGUAAUGAUUCUACGAUUCUAUUAUCUGCACAGCCUGCUAAAGCCAGGUGGUCAGGAGUCACCAAGGAUGUCAUACAACGUAUCCUACCAUGCUGUGGUCCCAGUGAAAAAGAACAAAAAAAUAAACUGAAGUUUUUCCCUAAAAGCAUGUUAAAAUCCUCGUCUGAAAUAAAAUGACCCAAACUGGGGGUGUAAAAGCACUGGGAGUUGAUCCCACGAAGACUCAGCCUGCUGAGCUGAGAUAUUUGUUUGGGGAAGAGAGGUCAAGCCAAGAGGAAAACCCAUUCCAUGACCCAACAGAGCAUUCACCAGGGACUCUGCUAAGCCUGCCCAGCCAGGACUCAGAAAUCUCCACACUCCCAUGAUUUCAGCAAUUGAAGGCCACGGGCACUGGCAGCAGUGCCUAAGCUUUAAUUGAACCUUUGCUCUAAGCGCGGCACAAAGAACAAAGCCCUGUAGAGGGAGCUUUAAGGUUUCCUUAAUUUAACCAAAAUAUCCUGCAGCCCACUUAACGGCACAUUAUGAAGUUUUAUCAUGAAUAAUUAACACUGAACUACAAUUGACAUCACGAAGCAUGUGGCUGGCUCAGCGAGUACCUCCCGACAGUCAGUUGGUCAGCAGAAGAGGGGGGGGCACAGCCACCAUGGCAAACAUCAGCCCCUUCCAGCAGCAAGGGGAGGCUUAGUGCAGCUGCUCCUGGUGCUCAGCACAACAGAUGUUUAACAGCACCAUUCCAGAUGAGGAACAAAGGUAAAAGAUUGUUUCUAAUCUGAUUGUUUCUGACCUGGGGAGGACUAUGGGCAAGAUUUGGGAUUGGGUACACUACGGUGAUUAGUUUGUAGCUGUGCCCUCCCAGGCUGGUGCAGCAUCUUGUUUUGAUGGCACACCAGCUCUCAGAUGAAAGACAAGCUGGCUUUUCUGAUCCUUUACAGUCACUUCUGGCAACUUCUGUAGGAUGUCAAGAAGGGAGGUCCAUUCUCAGUGGUCUAAGCUAGUCGCCAUGCCCUGCCUGGCACAAGGAACCUGCUCUGUCCAAGCUGCUGCCUUAAGGGUACUGCAGAGCUGACUUCCAGCAGUGUCAGUGCCACCUGGAGUGAUGGUCUUCAUAACAAAGGAGCUGAUAAUAAAAUUUCCAGAGGGAAAACUUCCAAAAAAAAAUAAAACACCAAAAGACAACAAACAAACAAAAAAACAAAAACCAAACCAGCCAAUCAAUAAACCAUCGAAAAGAAAAGAAAGGAAAAGAAAGGAAAAGAAAGGAAAAGAAAGGAAAAGAAAAGAAAAGAAAAGAAAAGAAAAGAAAAAGCCCACAUCAGAGCUGGGCUCCUCCAUGAGCUAUGGGAAAGGCAGCUCAGCAUUCCAUCAGCGUGCCCCCCUGCACCCCCUGGUGCUGCUUUGCACCCCUUGGGGCUGUGUCCCUGCCUCCCCACCUGCCUUCACACCUGCAGCACAAAGAUGGCAAGCAGAGUGGCUGCACAUGGAGAUGAAUUAGUGAUGGGCAGAGAGCUGACCCUGCGUCCUGCUGGCAGGGCUGCACAGCUGCUGCGGGCUGCAAAUGGUUGCAGGGCAGAUGAUUCCCAUCAUUUUGGCUGCAGAGAGUAUCUAGAUCUUAUCCACUUUCCACCCCCCUCCUUAAGCUGUGUCUUUUAAUAAAGACAUAGAAGCAGCGUGCUUGAAGAACUCGCUUAGAUCUGAACCAAACAGCACAGCUAAAGUAAGGAAAAAUCCAUGCGAGAACACAGAGGUUGUCAGCACUCCCUUAUGCUUGCUGCAGGAGAGCAGUGUGGUGCUAAGCCUGUGCGUGGCAGGCACCAAGUACAGCAGCCUGUGAGGGAGAAACUCAGGCAAAGACUAUUGAAACAUCUCCGGGAAGAGCCAUCAGGAGCCAUUAGGCCAUGUAGAGGAGGAUGUGCUGCCUGCGCAUCUCCCAGCUGGGAGCCUUCAGUCUCUGGUGGGAGAGGCUGGAGCCGGGGACUCUUUCUGCUGAUGGUUCAGCUCCAGCCUGUCUGCCUGAGCAGACCCAUGGGAUGGGAUAGAUGAACCCUGAGGCUCAGAGCGUGCGGUUGGCCCAUUCCCUGAGGGCUUUCCCCAAGGAGCUGCAAAAGGCGAGGCUCAUCUGAUGCUGACUUGAUUUGGGGGUCUGCUCCAGCUCAUGCCAUCUGACGAGCAUCCAUCGCCAUCAGGACAGGCUGCUGCAGCGUGAGGCCCCUUCAGGAUCUGAGCUCAGCAGGUUGGCUCGUGUGCCCAGCUGGUGGGAGCCAGCCUUCUUCCCAACCUGUCCUAACCUGCAGAGGUGGGAAGUGUGAAGAGCCCCUCCUGAUCCUGCUGAAGGACCUGUUCUAGACCAUGCCAGGGCAUCAACCCUUUGACAGUACCUGCGGGCCACUUUCUUAGCAGAGCCUUGCACAGAGAGGGGUCUGUGCUGUCCUGAAAUAAGUUGAGAGGUGAGUAGAGGGCGUAACUUCAGAGCUGUCUGAUAGUGGGAGUAUACAGGUGAGGACAAGGCAGUGAGAGUUCUGAGAACACCUCAAUGGCAUUGAUUUAUGAUUUUUAGUGCAUCUCCCCCCUCUGUGUGCUUUACAGCACUAAAACCUCCCAGUGUCUACAGAAUCCCCACCCCUCUGUACGGAAAGGUCACCAGACAUCUCCUUCAGUUGGAGCUUUAUUUGAUGUGGGUUUGCAUCUCCAUUUAAGCAGUAGAUACAUGCAGAGAGGAGAGGAUGUGCUUUCCUGGAGCCGGUGCUGAAUGAGGCAGAGGUUCUGCUAAGAGGGUUCGGACAGGUGUUGCUGCAUGGCUGAGAACACGCUCUGCAAAGCAAACUGAUUCACGUGCAGCACUCGGGCAGUCACAGAAUGGUUAAGCGAGGUUUUGUACAAAUACAUCUGCUUUGCUUUUUCUUCUGUGAAACUGAAUCCUGCCUUGCUUUGUAUAAAUAAAACAUGGUUCUUAGUUGACAUUUUCAUAUUUCUCAGAAAGCACUCAUUUACCUCAGGCUGCUGGAAACUUUGGUGAGGUUCUGCAGGUGAAAUACUGAUUUCAGCUCUGAUCUCUCCAUCUCCAGGAUCCCAAAGUUUCUGAAGUCCUGUGUGAGCUCACUGCUCUCUGACCCACAAAAGGACAUGAAGUCGGACCCCUCAGCCCUUCCUGAGAGAUUAUGGCUGAAAAUAAGGGGACGAGAGCAGACCCCAACCCUGGGACUCAUCCUGCAUGGCUUCAGUAGAGCUGUUGAAAAAAUGCAACGGUGAAUGUGGCAUGGAGCUCAACAGCAGGAAAGUAUGGCAAAAUGAUCCAUCUCCCAGGGCUCACUGGGCAGAGCUCCAGCAGCCAAUGUCUGAGAGCUUCAGCAGCCACGAACCUGUGGGAAUCUUUCCUCGGGAAGCCUUUGCAGCCAUGUCCCCAUUUGGAGAUGUCUCCAUGUGCUUCAGUCACUCAUCAUCUCCACCGUGAGUGCACUGCCUGUAGAGUUCCACAGUCAUACGGAUACGGACUGCUAUGUGGACACCUUAGGUCCUCUCAGUGGGCAGUGCAUACUCACCUGUGCACCUCUACUUUGGAGCCUCGUCUGUAUCAAUGCCCCAGUCCUAUCCCUGGAUCUGUGUGAGCUGCGUACUAUGUUUCCGAGUCCCAAGGGUGAGCUAUGUUCCUGCUGUCCCACCCCAUCCCCAUCCAUUCCAUUGGAUUGGUGGUAAACUAGGGACCAGGUGGGUGAGAAUGCACUUAGAGAUGGACUGGAUGCCAAAGCCACAGUUUGGAUGAGCUAGCUCGUGUGUUAAACCCCACAUGAAGAAAAAAGUAAAUAAGAGAGAGAGAGAGAGAGACAUAUGCCCAGCCCAAUCAAUACACCUUUUGUUCAAUGCUGUUUUGGCUUUCGGGUCACAGUUCAGGGGCUUCCUUUCCACUCCAGGAACAGGGAGUGUGCACGUGCCAUGCCACCUGUGUGUGCAAUCCUGUUCCUUCUUGCACAGCUCUGCCUCCUUUCCCUGCUCUGGACUUCCCCCUGAACUCUCCCUACACUGAACGCACUGCAGAGAGACUGCGUUAGAAGGUUUGGGCAUCCGCUCUGCUGUUCCUAUGUUGAGACCCCUAUGUGCCAUCGCAGAAUAAACCCACUCACAACACCCCACAGAGGACAGGUUCUUCUCACCUCACAUGCAUCCACAUCAGUGAAAUACCCAGCUUAGGAUUGCAGGUGACGAAAAUUGCAUUGCUUGCAAACUUUGAAGAGGGGACGGAGCAGCACCUGUGAGCUCGGGGCAGCAAUCCCAGACCUGCAGUGCUUUUUGGGGACUGGAGCUCCUGGUUUUGGACGUGGGGGUCCCAGUUUUGAGGGCCACCGGGGAGGCUGUGAGACGGGAGCAGAUCGGAGCGUGUUAUGGCUGCGAGGGAGCAGAGGGAGGGAUGCGAAUGGGGCGCUGCUAACGCUGCACGGAGCUGAUUCUCCAAGGCCCCCCCGGGCAGCACUCAGCAUCCAGCCUUCAUUAAAAUUUCAUUGCCAGCACUUGGCCAAGGUCUAUUUAUGAAAAUGCGCUUUUCGCUUCAUGGGAAAAAAAAAAAAAAAGAAAAAAAAACAACAAAACAA